AGGCAGCAGUGGGGAAUAUUGGACAAUGGGGGCAACCCUGAUCCAGCCAUGCCGCGUGUGUGAAGAAGGCCUUAGGGUUGUAAAGCACUUUCAGUGGGGAGAAAGGUUUGUCACCUAAUACGUGAUGAAAUUGAUGUUACCCACAGAAGAAGCACCGGCUAACUCCGUGCCAGCAGCCGCGGUAAUACGGAGGGUGCAAGCGUUAAUCGGAAUUACUGGGCGUAAAGCGCAUGUAGGUGGUUCGCUAAGUCAGCUGUGAAUCCCCC
rnacentral:rRNA from 1 species